ACUCCUACGGGAGGCAGCAGUGGGGAAUAUUGCACAAUGGGGGAAACCCUGAUGCAGCCAUGCCGCGUGUGUGAAGAAGGCCUUCGGGUUGUAAAGCACUUUCAGUAGGGAGGAAGGUAGUGUAGUUAACACCUGCAUUAUUUGUACGUUACCUACAGAAGAAGCACCGGCUAACUCCGUGCCAGCAGCCGCGGUAAUACGGAGGGUGCGAGCGUUAAUCGGAAUUACUGGGCGUAAAGCGCAUGCAGGCGGCCUGUUAAGUCAGAUGUGAAAGCCCGGGGCUUAACCUCGGAAUUGCAUUUGAAACUGGCAGGCUAGAGUCUUGUAGAGGGGUUAGAAUUUCGAGGUGUAGCGGUGAAAUGCGUAGAGAUCUGAAGGAAUACCGAGU
rnacentral:rRNA from 1 species